GCGGCAAUAGCUCAGUGGUAGAGCCCCGCUUCGCGUGCGGGGAAACCCGGGUUUGAUUCCCGGCUGCUCCC
rnacentral:tRNA from 1 species